GAUGAACGCUGGCGGCGUGCCUAAUACAUGCAAGUCGAGCGAACAGACGAGGAGCUUGCUCCUCUGACGUUAGCGGCGGACGGGUGAGUAACACGUGGAUAACCUACCUAUAAGACUGGGAUAACUUCGGGAAACCGGAGCUAAUACCGGAUAAUAUAUUGAACCGCAUGGUUCAAUAGUGAAAGACGGUUUUGCUGUCACUUAUAGAUGGAUCCGCGCCGCAUUAGCUAGUUGGUAAGGUAACGGCUUACCAAGGCUACGAUGCGUAGCCGACCUGAGAGGGGGAUCGGCCACACUGGAACUGAGACACGGACAAGACUCCUACGGGAGGCAGCAGAAGGGAAUGUUCCGCAAUGGGCGAAAGCCUGACGGAGCAACGCCGCGUGAGUGAUGAAGGUCUUCGGAUCGGAAAGAUCGGUUAUUAGGGGAGGACAAAUGUGUAAGUAACUAUGCACGGCUUGACGGUACCUAAUCAGAAAGCCACGGCUAACUACGUG
rnacentral:rRNA from 1 species